CUGCGAGUGAACAGGGAAAAGCCCAGCACCGAAGCCUGUGAUCGUUUGGUCAUUAGGCAAUGUGGUGUUCAGGUUGUUCCGCAAAGGUGCUGCUCCACCCUAAGUCCAUCAAUGAGAUCGGUUGUUUGGACCCGGCCCACAGAGGGUGAUAGGCCCGUGGGGGUGGAGAUCAGGUAGGCCAGUGCCUUUAUGGAUAGACCUUGGAGUCGGGUUGUUUGUGAAUGCAGCCCAAAGUGGGUGGUAAACUCCAUCUAAGGCUAAAUACCUACACGAGUCCGAUAGCAAACAAGUACCGUGAGGGAAAGUUGAAAAGUACUUUGAAGAGAGAGUAAACAGUGCGUGAAGCCGAUCAGAGGUAAACGGGUGGAGUUGAACUGCGAGCUCUGUGAAUUCAGCUGGCGAGUUUGGUUGAGCUUGGUCAAAUCGGUCGUACACUGUAGUCUGUGUAGCAGCAGGCCUUUUCCCCUUUGGGGUUGAGGUGCGCGAUGCACUCAUCAUGUGAUGCGCGCUGCAGUGUUCGUCGGUCCGGCUCGCCAGUGCAUUUUUGCAGAGUGGUCACCACGACCGGCACUGCUGUCGUUCUGUUUUGGUUAAACCGGUUUCGCAUUGUCCUUGUGGCUCUGCUUGAUCGGGAUGGCAGGUAGCUCGUUGGUCAGCUUUCGCUGGUCUUCGAGUGUAAUCAGCUGACCUUGACAGUUCUGUGCAGUGUGUCGGGGACUGCGGCUUUAGUGCGUGUACGCGUGCUAAGUUGGCCGGCUUGCCUGGGAUCUGGUUAUUUUGUAGCCUGUGAAUGCAGGCCUAAUGAUGCCCCGGGUUUGUUCGGUUGACGGUUGCGUGUGUGGCACGAUUUCUGGGCCGAUAGUCUGUGGUGUAGUGGUAGACUAUCCACCUGACCCGUCUUGAAACACGGACCAAGGAGAGUAACAUGUGCGCGAGUCAUUGGGCGUUACGAAACCCAAAGGCGAAGUGAAAGUAAAGGUUUGGCUUGUCCAGACUGAGGUGAGAUCCUGCCGUUUCUCAUGCGCGGUACUACCAAGCAUCGAGCGGUAGGCGCAUCACCGGCCCGUCCCAUGACACUUGUCAUUAGACAUUACCCAGUCGGGGCGGAGCAUGAGCGUACAUGUUGAGACCCGAAAGAUGGUGAACUAUGCUUGCGCAGGUUGAAGCCAGAGGAAACUCUGGUGGAAGACCGUAGCGGUUCUGACGUGCAAAUCGAUCGCCAGACGUGAGUAUAGGGGCG
rnacentral:rRNA from 1 species